AAGAGAGAUCAAUGUUUAUUUUAGCAAUAAUAAGGGGAGGUCAAUGUUUAUUGCUCCAUUUGUCCCAUGGAAAAAAUGAGAUUCAAAAAUAUUAGGCAUUCUCCCAAGAUCACUCAGAAGUCAGGAGCUUGGGAAUAGGGAGAGAACGCAGGUCCUUGACUCUGAUGGUAUUGUUCUUUCCAUCCUUUCUUCACCGGAUAAAAGGACUGUUCUCAAGGUACCACUCAUAGGAGCUAAGCAAUUUUAAGGAAAGUGACAGAAAUGAAGGAAACUGGCAGAAAGAGAAAGCCAUCUUACCCAGAGAGAUACUGACCUAUGAUUAGGAAUAGUUUGAAAAUACAAUCUGAUUCAAAAUAAUUUAAAAUAAUGUGUAAAUAUGCCAUUGAGUCAUACAGGUUAAGAGACAUUAGAUUUCAGUGCGACACAGCCCUAACAACCCUGUAUGGGUGACAAAUGUGCCAUUCCAUUCAUCAUCUCCAACAGUAAGAGAACACUGGAACUAGUGAACUGUUGUCAGAUGGUUAGGUAGUGAACCAGAGUUAGAUGCAUUGUGGUGAUGGUGAGAUUUAGGGAGCAACAGAGGCAACAAAUAUAUAUGUCUCCGUAAAAUGAGGUCAGAGGUAAGGAGUAAGAAGAAUGCAGGCUGGUUCAUAACUUGUGCAGAUAAAUAGCAGGGACAGACCCUAGCAGUCACAACCACACUCCUAUCAUUCAUCUCAGCUCUUUUGCUGGAGAAAAGGAGUCAUCUAUUCCAUUCAGGGCUUCCCUGAUUGUCUUGGUUUCUGUGAAGUGUAAAGCAGGUUGCAAGGAGCUGUCUGCACUGAUGCGUGAAUGCUGUUUUCUUGGAGAUUAAUUCAGAAUGUGUUUGUGCAUUAGUCUCUCUCUCUCUGUCUCUGUGUGUGUGUGUGUGCGCGUAAAUGAGCCUUUUACGGAAAAAGUCAAGGUUUAAGAAUUUUGUGCUGUGUGUCUGACCCCUACCUUCCUUCUGUGCAUCUCUGCACCAGUCCUGUCCUGGAUUUACACAAUUCUAUGCAUGUUAUACUUAAUUUUUUUUACGAUGGCUUCUGAUGAAAACAUGAUAUAGAAGUAGAGGGUGACCUUGAAGAUGCCAAAGUUUGCCACCCUAUUGUUUGAUACAGUGAAAAAUAAGGAAGGUAGGGAGCUCUCUUGGAGCUAAGAUUACACAGGAGAAAUAAGAAAAAAGCUAAUGUCUUUAUUAUCAAUAUAGCACACGGACACACACAAACAUAUCAUGUUCCAUGUUUGAGUCUCCACUCCCAAGAGAAGUGGUCUGACUCUCCUUUCCUGUGGAGGACUCAGUUAAUCACCAGCCUAUCAACCCACGUCUGGUAUCCAUAAUCCGUGGUUCUAAAUCAUAAGAGGGACUGUGAGUGUGUGUGUGCAUGUGUGUGUGUGCAUGCGUGCGUGCCUGUUUAAAGUAGCAUUCCCCUGUAAAACAAGUCAUCACCCCUUUGUAUUUUGGUAACUACUGUCAUUGCUAUUCACUUGGAACCAACACUAAAAACUAAAGGCGGCCAGGGAAAAGUUCAGUAGUUUUUAGGGAAAAUGUCAGAGGUAAUGAACAAAACAAGCAGCUGUGCAUUUUCAUCAAGAAUCUAUCUGGAAGAAGGAAACACCACAAUUAUUCCACACAGACAGCCCCUUCCAGACUAGCAGCACUUUUCUCCCUUCUCCAGGGAUGAUGUGGAAGACAGAGCUAUGCAAAAGCAGUCUGAGAUGCACCACAUGGGGUGGUGAGAGAUGGAGGAGUGGACAGACAGCAUGGGCCAAAAGGUAAGAGAGGCAGUUAGAGAGUGCGCGGAGAGACAGACACCAAACGCGCUGCUGUAGACAAAGACAAAUGCAGACCAAAGCCUAGGAAUGCAGGGAGCCCAAGUUAGGACAGCUUCAGCUCGCUCAGUCAUCUUUGUAACACCUUCCUGGUUUUGGCAAUAUCCACAGUCCGUCAGUAUUAUUAUUAUUGUCUUAUAACAUUUUCUCUAAAUCAAAUCCUUUAAAAUAUUUUAUGUGUUGUAUUAUAACCACCUAUGAUAAGCCAGUAUCACUUUUACAUUUCAAAAGAUCAAGAUAACAACAUUACAAAUCGUAUGAUUGGUUUCUAAGUGUUGCUGCCCAUGGGGGAUGGGGAGAUGUGAGCCUGAAGUUUCUUCUUUAUGCUGAAAAGAAGAAAGAAAAGAAAGGGGGUUGCUGGGUGCAGUGGCUCACGCCUGUAAUCCCAGAACUUUGGGAGGCCAAGGCGGGUAGAUCGCCUGAGUUCGGGAGUUUGAGACCACCCUGGGCAAUAUGGCGAAGCCCCAUCUCUACAUAAACAAUUAGCCAGGUGUGAUAGCUCAUGCCUAUAAUCCUAACUACUCGGGAGGCUGAGGCACGAGAAUCACUUAGGCCCUGGAGGCGGAGGUUGCAGUGAGCUGAGAUGGCACUGAGCGACAGAGCAAGACUCUGUCUCAAAAAAAUAAAAGUGGGGGUGGGGGUAAGAUAAAGGGAAGAAAAAAAUAAAAGAGUUUAGCAAGUGUUACAAGAGCAUGGAAGAAGGAUAACAAAAAUGAGACUUUGAUCUAAUCCACAGGAAUUUUAAAAGUAGCAAUAAUCAGAAAGUCAGUCAAAACGUGUGUGUGUGUGUGUGUGUGUGUGUGUGUGAGAUAUAGCGCUGUGUUACAUGGUGGUGAUGUUGUGGCUCUGUUCCACCUAAAACCACUUUAAACUCCACCUUAAAUCGUCUGCAAGAUGCUUGCAACAAACUCUGAAAAUCACCUAUGCAGUGGUUAAGUGCAUAGAUGGGCCCCAAACAUAAAGCCAAACUUAAUAUUGGUUCAUUCACUCUGUAAACAUGUGUUAAGCAUCUGCUGUGUCUGUCAGGUACUGUUCAAGGUGCUAGGGAUAUAAUUGUGAAAGAAUAAAAGAAACUUCCUCCAUGGGUCCUUUCAUAUUGUGAUAAAAUAUAUCUUUAAAAAUUACCACUUUAACCAUUUUAAGUGUGUAAUUUAGUGGCAUUAAAUAAACUCACAGUUUUGUGUAACCACAACUAUGAUUUAUUUCCAGAAUGUUAUCAUCAUCCUAAGCAGAAACUCUGAACCCAUUAAACAACUCCCCUUCCUCUCUCAUCUUCUCUUAACCUCUAUUCUACUUUCAGUCUCUAUGAAUUUGCCUAUUUUAGGUACCUCAUAUAAGUGAAAUUAUAUGAUAUUUGUCCUUCUGUGUCUGAUUUAUUUCAUUUAGCAUUUUUUUAAGUUGUAUCCAUGUUGUCACAUGUGUCAGCGUUUUGUCUCUUUAUGGUUGAAUGAUAUUAUAUUGUAUGUGUAUAGCAUACUUUGUUUAUUCGUUCAUCUGCUGAUGGACACCGAGUUCUUUCCACCUUUUGGCUAUUUUGCAUAAUGCUACUAUGAUCAUUGGCAUACAUGCUUCUGCUUGAAUCUAUGUUUUUCAUUGAUUUGGGGAUAUAACUACUUCUUUCAUGGAUCUUACAGUUUAACAGGAAAUGCAAUCAGAUAAAUGGCAAUUUGUGAAUACUCUGCUACCAAGACACAUACUCCAUGGUAUAGGAGCAGAAAAUAGCCAGAAAAAAACAAAACAAAAGAAAAACCUGUGUGGAGGGAAUUUUAGCAAGAAAAAAAGGAAUGGCACAGGUGAGGAUUCUAAACUAAGAAGAUGUACAGCCCAUUAGGAAACAAAGAGAAAAUCAGGAAUAUUUAGAAUGAGUGGUAGCAUAGGAAAAAAUAAGAUUAUAAGGGAGGCAAAAACUGAUUGUACAGGGACUUACAGAUCAUAUAAAAUUUCACGUCUUCCAAAUACCCACACAUCAUCCACUGCUUCCAGACAUUCAGUUUUAUAAGGUCACAUGUCUCAUUCUUAGAAAUGCUUUUUCUGAUCACCUAUCUAAACCAAUGUGAUCACCAUUUGUUUCUAGUCUUUAUCUUGUUUCAUUUCUCUCCAUAGCUUUUGGAGUCCAUAGUGUGUGUGUGUGGGUGUGUUUGUGUGGAUGUGUGUGUGUUCAUCUCCCCCUUCGAAUAAAAGCUCCAUGAGGCAGGGACAUCACUGCUGCACCCCAGGAUCAAGAACAGCUGCACACAAAAAGUCAGCUAUAAGUAUUGAUGACAUUAAUGAAUGAAUGAACCAAUAAGUGACUAAGCUGGCCCUUUCAUUUACUAGCUUUAUGAUGUUGAGUAACUUAUUACCUUUUCUAAAUUCAAGUACCUCUUCUGUACAGUUUUGUGAAUGAAAUAAAUGCCAUAGUACAGGGCCUGUAAUAUGUUUACUGAGUGCCCAGUAAAUAUUAGUUCAUAGAAUUUAGAGAGAGGGAGACAGGUGGCAAAAGAGGGAGGGGGAUAGAGAAAAUAAAGCAAAACAAAGCUACCCAUCCAAUAUUUCCAUUUUGGUGAGUGGCCCUCCCUCGUUUUAGACUCACUGUCACAAACAGGAAGCCAAACAAAACAAAAUCAACAAAAGCAAAUUUUAAACUUUUGAUUCUCCUUCCAGGAAAACAAUAAAAUCAAGAGAAUGAAGCCGAUACUGAAAAAUUAUAAUUUAGACUUUUAUUUUAUAGAAUUAAGUAUCCAUCAGUCUGUUUAUGAAUUUUGCUUUACCACGCUGAUCUACCAACUUCUAUACAGACUCGGUUAUAUGAGAGCAUGGGUCUGUGUUUGUGUGUGCUCUGUAGUCAAAGACGUAUGUUCACUGAGACAUGAAAUAUAUAUGAUACAUGUGGAACAACUAUAAACAACAUGGGCGAAGUGUGUUUUUUAGCCAUUCUCUGGAUCCCUCACAGUUCUUCUAGAGAGUAGAAUCAUCAGGGAAAUCAGAAAACUGAAAGGUAUUUUUUAUUCCCCAAACAAAACAAAAUAAAACUUCACUCCUGACUCUUGGUGGUUGAAAGCAAAUGUAUAGACAAUACUGAUGCUUGUUCCUAAUUUAAUAAAAAACGAAAAUCCAUAAUACAGCACUAGUCAACAUGGAGCCCGAGUGUGAAAGCUAAUCUCAUCAUGAGGUGUUAAAACACAUGGGAAAGUGGGAAUAAUGGAUAAGGCGUUUUAACUGUAAAUUUCAGCUUGGCAGUGAUAGGCGAUAAUGUUCACCCACAAGGAAAGGCUUUCAUUUCAUCCCUGUUUUGUGGAGCUGGUGUUAAUUCUGAGGGAGGUUGCAAAGACUGACUUAUUUUGCCAACUUCAUAACUGCUCUUGGAUCUGAGGAGCAGAGGCUCAAGGCUCCUUGUAGAGUCACGUGUUGAUUUUCUAAUUUAUUCAUAAGUUAUAUAUUUCUGUUUAUAAAAAGAAUUUGCAAUGGCUUAAAGCAUGCCUUUACUUCUAUACCUACCAGGGCUUUGUUUUAUCAUUCUUCUGGCUUUGGGAAAAGAGAGCUGUUUCUGUUGGAUUGCAGGGGAGGAAAAAAAAGGUCUGAAUGUGGGUGUGGUGAGGGGAAGGGGGAAAGGAUUGUCAGUUAAUACAUCAAGAUGGAAAAUGAAAACCCAUUUACUUUGAGUAUUUUAUUUAUAUCCCAUUUAAAACUUCCAUUACAGUGCACAACACUUACAUGUGUGCUAUGAUCACAUGGGAAUCUUGUUCAAAAAGCAGCUUCCUAGGCCCCAACUCCAGACCUUCUUUUUCAAUGAGUCUUCUAUCAGGUCCAGGAAUCUAAAUAUUUAAUAAGCAACCGAGGCAAGUUUGCUGGGUUAGAAAACGUACUUUGAGAAAUGACACAGUGAUCACUCUCUCUGAUUUAUUAAUAUUCUGUGCAUGACUUGCUGAUCAAUUCCUAUUCCUCUCUUCCAGUGACCUGACUCCCGUUUCUACCCUCCUAAACCCAUUUUUAGUUCAUUCGGGGAAGUUAAACUGGUAACUAGUAGAAAAGUCUCCCUGUAAGACUACAAUCACCUUCCCUGGUUCUGCUUGUAAUUAAGAGAUAGUGGUAGAAGUAACAGACGUAGACUUUGAGAAACAUUACAAUCUUGUUUAAUCAUCCCAAUGAUUUGAGAAGCUCCAUAUUACAACCUAUUACAGGUUCCCCUUAAUGGUUGAAGGAGCUAAUGUAUAGAGAAGCGAAGGGACCGGGCCAGUGUUAUAGACAGGAGUAGAAGAGGUAGGAAGAGUACAGUGUGUGGGUACCGUUACAUAUGGUGUUUCUUAAGAAAUCAGUGAUCAUUAGGAAGCUGACUGUGUUAAAUCACAUGCCCUUGGGGGAAAAACAACAAAAGAAAAAAAAAAGUUAAGUCUUGUCACCACCGUCAAAAUAGGAAAGCCAUUUCAAUCUAAAGCAUGAACAAUCAAAGUGAAAACAUAAGCGUCUGAUUUCUCUUUUAUCCGGUCAAGUUAUGUGGGAGGGGUGUGUAUGUGUAAGAGACUACAAGAAAAGGAGAUUAAAGACUUUUCCCUGCAGAGAACAAGCUGAGUCAGUGCCGAUCAAAGGCUGACAUCAAACAUACGGCCUCAAUAAUUGAACCUGCUGUCUGUAAACUCUCAUUAGCAAGCAGGAAAGAUGAUUAUUAAUUUCUCAGGCGUUUGGUUGUCUGAAGAGAUACAGAAGAGAGACCAAUCACUUACUUUCAGACAGACAAAACCACCGAAUCCUUUCCUGCGCCAUCGAAGAGCUUUGAUACCAAAGAGAAAGCUACCAAUUUUCGCUAAUUUAUAAUACGUAUUUACUCAGAAAAAU
rnacentral:lncRNA from 10 species